rnacentral:rRNA from 1 species
UUUGUUUAUAUAUUGAUAAUGACAGUAUAUAUAUCGUGUCUUGACUAAUUGCGUGCCAGCAGUCGCGGUAAUACGUAAGAGACUAGUGUUAUUCAUCUUAAUUAGGUUUAAAGGGUACCCAGACGGUCAAUAUAGCUUAUAAAAUGUUAGUACUUGACUAGAGUUUUAUGUAAGAGGGCAGUACUUGAGGAGGAGAGAUGAAAUUUCGUGAUACCAAAGGGACUCUGUAAAGGCGAAGGCAGCCCUCUAUGUAAAAACUGACGUUGAAGGACGAAGGCACAGAGAACAAACAGGAUUAGAUACCCAAGUAGUCUUUGCAGUAAAUGAUGAAUGCCAUAGGUUAGAUUGGUCAAUUAUAGUCUAGGGUUAGUCUAGCAAACUAAUACCCUAUGCUAUAAUCCUAAUAUCUGGUCUAUAAAUGAAAGUGUAAGCAUUUCACCUCAAGAGUAAUGUGGCAACGCAGGAACUGAAAUCACUAGACCGUUUCUGACACCAG